UCAGAGCAGCCGACGCUGGGCCCCUCCCAGGCCUCAGCUUGCUCAUCUGCGCAAGGCGGGCUGCACCUGCCCUUCUCCCUGCACAACAGCUGUUGUGAGGCUGAGAGAGCAGGGCACACCGAGCGUUCCCCAGCACCAGCCACGAUGGUCCAUGCUUAAACUGGAGAUUACAUGGGAUCCAGUGGUCAAGUUGCCCUGGGUCACCCCAGCAGGAGUUUCGGGCUUUUAUUAAGCAGUGGAAGUGCAUUGGAAACACAAGGCGCUGACCUCCUCACCCUGCCCACACUGGUAGCAGAGUAACAACUGGGUCUCCAGAGACACCUGAGGGCCCGCCUUCCAGCCCUCAGGCAGAAGACCUAAAAGCUGUGUGGAAUAUUCCCCCAUCACGACCUUGGUCUGGACGCAGCUCCAGGGUCGCCCUUCCUAAGGCAACGUCACCCUGACCUGGCCCCAUGGGCGACUUAAAGGGGCCUUGCCAAGGUGUGGUAAAGGUGCAGGCUCUGCUGAUGGCUCGUUUCAUCCCUGCUGGAAGCAACUGGGGAGCUGCUUCAAAGUUGCAGUGUCCUUCGAGCAGCAAAGAUCCAGCGAUGCCAGGGCAUGAGAAGGGCAUCUCUCCCAUGCGAGUGUGGUGAGCAGACAGGCGUCUACCUGCACAAGAGGGGCAAGGCUGUGGAACCCCAGAAGACAGGCCUCUGAGAGGACCCGGGUCACCCGGACCUGGACUCAAAUCCCAUCCCUGUACCUCUCCUUGGAUGAACCAUCGAACACUGAGCUUCCAUUUUGCAUCUUCCAACUGCACAGAGAAGUAAGUGUGUGCUGCUCCUUCCGUGGUUGGUGCUGAGUGGGGAUUUCGGGAAUGGUCCCUGCUCCCUGCAUUUUCCACAGGGCCAGCGGGAAAUAAGCUUUACCUCCACCGCACAGGAGGGAAAACUUCAACUCGCAUGUUAGG
rnacentral:lncRNA from 10 species